UCACUGCCGCAACGAUCGGCAUUUUCCAUUUUGCGGUCGGUCCAUCUGCUGGCCAUUCAUUCAAGUCCGACUUCGGAGAGCACGAGAGAGCGCCAAACGCAAGUCAGUCCGAACAAUCGAAAUCGAACUCAGUCCGAAUCUGAAUCGGAAUCCGAAGAGAAGCAAUACCCUAAUUUCGGAGUGGGACAGGCCGCUUUGAGAACAGUUUCAUUUCGAUUUACGGAAUUUAAUAAUUUAUAAUGAAUAAAUAUAAGAUUGGUAAUACGUUUAUUGGAAUUUAUUUGUAACUUGCUCGAGGUUUAAAGAAAACCAUUAAAUCUUUGAAGUUGCAAAAUAUAUAAGAAUUAUAGCUUAAUAUAUGGAUCCUUGCAUGUGGGAGCAGCCAACUACUACUCAUUGAAGGGUAUUUCCAAUUCGACGCCCCUGCGAGAUUCUGACUCUCUGCUGUGCGACAAUAUUUGGUUCGAGCGACAAGUUGACUGAAGGUUAGACCCGAUCCGAACCGAUCGGAUUGGAAUGUUGGCCCGUCUCGAAAGCGUUGGCGGUUAGACAAAGCCAGCUAGAGGCGGUGGGAGCGAGAGGGGCACAGUCGCACACACCUACUCGCAAAUGAGAAUGCUAGUUUAUCGGUGUUGGUUUUGCGAGUGUCUCAUGAUAUUUCGCAGAAUCGCGGGAAUCGAGAAACUCCCCAAAACACAAAUAAACUCUUCCGGUGGACAGUGGGCAAAAUAAAUAAAUAAACUGCAGGGGAUGUGGGGAGGUUGAGUGGGGAUUGUAUGGAACGAAGCGGAACUAGGAAAUGUUAUUGUUAUUGGCACGCGCGACUUGAUCUGGAAAACUAAACUACUGUGCACGAUAAAAAUUGAGUGAUCGGUAUUGAUUUCAAAACAGCCUAUAUUUCCGAAAAUUAUGGUUAUUCGAAUUGUAAUGAAAUGCAUGUAAAGUGAAAGUUUUACUUAUGUACCUUACCCACAACUAUGUGAAUAAUACAUAUAUUACUUACCCAAAGCAAAUUUCAAGAACACCUUUCCAAACUCCCUUUACGCACAAUACGACCUACAAAGUAUCUGAUUUUGUUUGUAAUUUUUUGGAAUUUUAUUCUUUUUUAUUGCUUUUUACUCUUUGCCCUCGAUUUGUGUGUGUUUGUUGUGUGAGCUUCAAAAGAAUGUUCGAACGAAAGGAGAGAGAGAGAGAGAGAGCAGCGGGCGUGAAGGAUACGGGCGACAUAGCAAGCGAAAGGACGAGGAUACGGAUAUCCCAUGCACUUAUCACCGUGCCAUUGCGCUCCAAUCCACUCCAGGCCAUUCCAUUCCGAUCCGAUUCGCGUCGAGGGUUUGACAAUUUGGAAGCACUUAAAACUAAAUCUCUACAGAAUGUGCAAUCAAUCUUUUACAGUAUUUCUUUAAUAAUUUUAUGUAUUUUUCGUGAUUUGUGUGUUGGAUGCGUGGGUGUGUUCUUUGUGUAUCUUAUGCCUAAGCAGGACAAUUGAAUGUAACGAAUUGAAAUUUUAUUUAUUUAA